AGAGUUUGAUCAUGGCUCAGAUUGAACGCUGGCGGCAGGCCUAACACAUGCAAGUCGAACGGUAGCACAGAGAGCUUGCUCUCGGGUGACGAGUGGCGGACGGGUGAGUAAUGUCUGGGAAACUGCCUGAUGGAGGGGGAUAACUACUGGAAACGGUAGCUAAUACCGCAUAACGUCGCAAGACCAAAGAGGGGGACCUUCGGGCCUCUUGCCAUCAGAUGUGCCCAGAUGGGAUUAGCUAGUAGGUGGGGUAACGGCUCACCUAGGCGACGAUCCCUAGCUGGUCUGAGAGGAUGACCAGCCACACUGGAACUGAGACACGGUCCAGACUCCUACGGGAGGCAGCAGUGGGGAAUAUUGCACAAUGGGCGCAAGCCUGAUGCAGCCAUGCCGCGUGUAUGAAGAAGGCCUUCGGGUUGUAAAGUACUUUCAGCGGGGAGGAAGGUGUUGCGGUUAAUAACCGCAGCAAUUGACGUUACCCGCAGAAGAAGCACCGGCUAACUCCGUGCCAGCAGCCGCGGUAAUACGGAGGGUGCAAGCGUUAAUCGGAAUUACUGGGCGUAAAGCGCACGCAGGCGGUCUGUCAAGUCGGAUGUGAAAUCCCCGGGCUCAACCUGGGAACUGCAUUCGAAACUGGCAGGCUAGAGUCUUGUAGAGGGGGGUAGAAUUCCAGGUGUAGCGGUGAAAUGCGUAGAGAUCUGGAGGAAUACCGGUGGCGAAGGCGGCCCCCUGGACAAAGACUGACGCUCAGGUGCGAAAGCGUGGGGAGCAAACAGGAUUAGAUACCCUGGUAGUCCACGCCGUAAACGAUGUCGACUUGGAGGUUGUGCCCUUGAGGCGUGGCUUCCGGAGCUAACGCGUUAAGUCGACCGCCUGGGGAGUACGGCCGCAAGGUUAAAACUCAAAUGAAUUGACGGGGGCCCGCACAAGCGGUGGAGCAUGUGGUUUAAUUCGAUGCAACGCGAAGAACCUUACCUACUCUUGACAUCCAGAGAACUUUCCAGAGAUGGAUUGGUGCCUUCGGGAACUCUGAGACAGGUGCUGCAUGGCUGUCGUCAGCUCGUGUUGUGAAAUGUUGGGUUAAGUCCCGCAACGAGCGCAACCCUUAUCCUUUGUUGCCAGCGGUCCGGCCGGGAACUCAAAGGAGACUGCCAGUGAUAAACUGGAGGAAGGUGGGGAUGACGUCAAGUCAUCAUGGCCCUUACGAGUAGGGCUACACACGUGCUACAAUGGCGCAUACAAAGAGAAGCGAACUCGCGAGAGCAAGCGGACCUCAUAAAGUGCGUCGUAGUCCGGAUUGGAGUCUGCAACUCGACUCCAUGAAGUCGGAAUCGCUAGUAAUCGUAGAUCAGAAUGCUACGGUGAAUACGUUCCCGGGCCUUGUACACACCGCCCGUCACACCAUGGGAGUGGGUUGCAAAAGAAGUAGGUAGCUUAACCUUCGGGAGGGCGCUUACCACUUUGUGAUUCAUGACUGGGGUGAAGUCGUAACAAGGUAACCGUAGGGGAACCUGC
rnacentral:rRNA from 1 species